ACCUAGCUGGCUCAGUUGGUACAACAUACAACUCUUAAUCUUGGGGUCAUGGGUGCAAGUCCCAUGUUGGGUG
rnacentral:tRNA from 1 species